CCCUAACUUUGUGACUAAGACAUACCUUUUAUAAUAAUUCUCUAACCAUACAAUUAUUAUCCUUAUAUGUUUUGGAUCACCAAAGUCCAUACCACCAUUGUAGUGGGCUGAUACCUAACACGAACAUUAGAGUACAUAUUAAAAUCAACCAUAUUAUUUUUUCAUCCGGAAAAUUAAAUCAACCAUAUUAUUUUUUUGUCUGGAAAGUUAUACUCCCUUCGUCCUCCUCAAUUAUUUACAUUAAGAGGGGAUACGGAGAUCAAGGAAAAGUGUAAUUUAUUAAGUAAAAGUAGGAAAAAUAAGUAAGUGGUGGGACCGGUCAAUAAUUAAUGUAUAAAAUGAGUAUAAAGUGGAGAUAAUGAGUGAAAGUAGAUGAUGUGAUUGAAUUUUACAUAAUAAAAAAUUACAGUUUUUGUGGUAUGUAAAGAAAUUACAGGAACGUCCAAAAAAGAAAGUAUAAAAAAAUAGGAGCCAGAGAGUAUAUAUUCAAACUAAUUACAAGAAACUUACGAUCCAGAAUACGUGAGAAAGCGCAUUGUAUGAGAAAUGUCUUCUUGUCGUCAACUAUUAAAGAUAUACUGCUCUGUCUUCAUAGUUUCUUCACCUUGGUGCGAGUUGUCGACACAAAAUUUAAAGUGUUUUAUAAAUUUUGUUUCGUUAUAAGUAGUUUUUCAAAUUUUGUUUUGAAUAAAAAUUAAAUAUUUGAAUUUUUAUAUAAAAAAUAAGAAAAUCUUAAAAAUAUGUUACGAAAAUAUAUUCUAUAAGAAUCUUAAAAUACGUGUCAGAAAAAACCGGUAAAGAAAUGAAAGUAACUAAGGCAAUGAUAUUACAAAUUUACUUAGAAAAGGAUGUGGAUAUAUCCAAAUCCAUUAGUGAGAGGGCCACUUUGAAAGAUGUGAGGAAGCUCAUUUUUGUAGUCUGAAACGGUCCUCUGGAGGACCCUUACUCCACCCACACCGAGUCCUACUUUACCAUAAAACAGUAAUUUAAUUUAUUCACUAACCUCAUUUUCACAAUAAGUAUUAUUCAUCCUAAUCAUCCAUUAUUAUCUAGUCAGAUCCCACCUGUAUAAAUAAUGCUGAGAGUUGGUGUUUCCAUGCACACUUGAGUAGCUGCCCAACAAUUUUCCUAUCACGAUUGACUUGUGUUCCCUCUGUGGUGGCGCCAACAGAUUCAUUCACAGACAUAUAUUAUACUCCAUAUGUGACUGAAAAUACAAGAUGGUGGUCUGAGCCGCCUGAUAGCUCCAAUGGCCAGGUCCUACUUAAUUAUAGUGAGAUCUUAGUACCGACCAUGUAUUGCAUAUUAAUGUAACUGUACAGUCGCAGAAAUACGAUGUAACACUGGGGUAAGUCGUGUCUGUUACGCUCACCAAAGAAACAUAAACGUGUAUGCUGGAUGAUCAUAUGUUGAUAACCCGUGUCGGUAAAGCAUUCAGUGAGUUGAGAUGAUUAAAUGUUAGAGACGGUUCUCGUAUAAAAUGGGAGAUUGAGAACGGGAAAGAGCAGAAAGAAUGUUUUAAGCGAGGUUGUCUGUCCAUGGAUAAUUCAAGACAACAGACUAUCAUAAAAUCAUGGGACAAAUACAAUUUCGCACUCAUUCAUUUCUGUGCAGAGGCCUACACGGCUGCACCGAGUACCGACAGUUUCCGUCUUCUUUUCCCGAUCUCCUCCUACUUUCUUCCUGUUUUUAGCACUAAGCUAAACAAUCAAUUUACCAACAUAUAUUAAAAUUGUGGAGGAAGGAGUGUUACUCAUUUUUGUUAUUAAUUUUAUCAAGCAACUGAUUCGCCAUUUAGAUUUAUUUUACUGUAUCACUAUCUAUG
rnacentral:lncRNA from 1 species